GCCAUUUCGCUUUCCCUUCCAGCUCCUUCAAUCGCUGAAAGCCAAAGGACCAAUGGAGGAAACCCAGCAUGUCUUUUCUUAGUAAGACUAACACAGAAAAUGGGUCGGAUUUCUAGCGUAUAUCCAGAAGAAUGGCUCUUCAGAGGCUGAACUCUGCAACCCUUAAAGGCAAUGGCUAUGUUAAGCAGCCCCUAAGGAUGGCGAGAGAUCACCUUCGUUUUAAAAGCACCUCUACAGAGAAUGUCAAAGCAAGCUAAAGGGAAGCAGCUGUUACUGUUCUCCCCCUGUUGUAGGGUGCAUCUAGCCCCACGGUAAGCCAGAACUGCCUGACGCCACUGAGGUGAUCUGCUGAUGCACAGCGUGGAGUUGCAUCUGUCAGGCUGUUCCUGGUACCCUGGUUGCUUUGUGCCCUGCUCCCCAGGGGCUGCAGAAAGUGAUUCCUCUGUCUGGGAAGGAGCAAGUGCUGCCCAGCCCACAGCUGCUGGGCCAAGCGCUUUGGUACUCUGCGGAUCAUCUCCACCAGAGAAAAUAAACAGCAAAGCUCCUGUAAAGGCUCCCCAACGAAUCC
ensembl:lncRNA